rnacentral:rRNA from 1 species
GGGGAACCGCCUGAACUGAAACAUCUAAGUAGGGCGAGGAAGAGAAAUCAACAGAGAUUCCGUAAGUAGUGGCGAGCGAACGCGGAAGAGGCCAAACCUAAUGUAGUAAUAUGUUAGGGGUUCGGACAGUAAAAUGAAUUGUCGAGAUUUAGCCGAAUGUCAUGGGAAGGGCAAUCAAAGAAGGUGAAAAUCCUGUAGGCGAAAAGUUAAGACAUCAGACUGUAUCCAGAGUACCGCCGGACACGUGAAACCCGGUGGGAAUACGGGGGGACCAUCCUCCAAGCCUAAAUACUACUCGGUGACCGAUAGAGAAGAAGUACUGUGAAGGAAAGGUGAAAAGCACCCCGGAAGGGGAGUGAAAGAGAACCUGAAACCUUGUGUUUACAAGCACCGAAAGUUCAUCAACGAACGAUCGGGUACCUUUUGUAGAAUGGUCCGGCGAGUGAAUGUAACUGGCAAGGUUAAGCACUUAAGGUGUGAAGCCGUAGCGAGAGCGAGUCUGAAAAGGGCGCAUGAAGUCAGUUGUAUUCGACCCGAAACCGGGUGACCUACCCAUGUCCAGGCUGAAGUGCAGGUAAAACUUCAUGGAGGGCCGAACCGACUCCCGUUGAAAUGGUAGCGGAUGAGGUGUGGGUAGCGGAGAAAUUCCAAUCGAACCCGGAGAUAGCUGGUUCUCUCCGAAAUAGCUUUAGGGCUAGCCUUGGAAUAGAUUACUGGAGGUAAAGCACUGAAUUGGCUAGGGGCCGAGAGGUUACUGAACCUUAUCAAACUAAGAAUGCCAGAUAAUCGUUUUCCAGGAGUCAGACAGUGGGAGAUAAGUUUCAUUGUCAAAAGGGAAACAGCCCAGACCUACAGCUAAGGUCCCAAAGUAUAGUUAAGUGGAAAAGGAUGUGGAAUUGCAUAGACAACCAGGAUGUUGGCUUAGAAGCAGCCACUCAUUAAAAGAGUGCGUAAUAGCUCACUGGUCGAGUGAUUCUGCGCCGAAAAUUUAACGGGGCUAAACUAUACACCGAAGCUUAGGAUACCGCAAGGUAUGGUAGGAGAGCGUUCUGUACGGAGUGAAGUCGUAGCGAAAGCGGCGGUGGACUGUACAGAAGUGAGAAUGCCGGAAUAAGUAGCGAGAAUUAAGUGAGAAUCUUAAUGGCCGAAAGUCUAAGGUUUUUGGAGGAAGGUUCGUCCGCUCCAAGUAAGUCGGGAGCUAAGGUCAGGCCGAAAGGCGUAGCCGAUGCACAAACGGUUGAUAUUCCGUUACCGUCUACAAUUUAAACAAGGGGACACAUACAAAGCGUUUAACCCGGGCGAUGGUUGACCCGGGCGCAAGGGACUGAAAUAAGAGUAGGGAAGUAAAUGUGGCGUAUGGCGAGAAAAGCUUUGUGUAUAGAAGUAGACGCCCGUACCGCAAACCGACACAGGUGGACAGGAAGAGAAUUCUAAGGCCAGCGGGAGAAGGGUAGUUAAGGAACUCGGCAAAUUGACUCCGUAACUUCGGAAUAAGGAGUGCUCGAAAGAGCCGCAGAGAAUAGGCCCAGGCGACUGUUUAGCAAAAACACAGGUCUCUGCCAAAUCGAAAGAUGAAGUAUAGGGGCUGACACCUGCCCGGUGCCGGAAGGUUAAGAGGAGGAGUGCAAGCUCCGAAUUGAAGCCCCGGUAAACGGCGGCCGUAACUAUAACGGUCCUAAGGUAGCGAAAUUCCUUGUCGGGUAAGUUCCGACCCGCACGAAUGGUGUAACGAUCUGGGCACUGUCUCAACUACCCACCCGGCGAAAUUGUAGUACCGGUGAAGAUGCCGGUUACCUGCGGCAAGACGGAAAGACCCCAUGGAGCUUUACUGUAGCCUGAUAUUGGGUUUCGGAAAUCUAUGUACAGGAUAGGCGGGAGACUGGGAAGUAUGAGCGUCAGCUUAUACGGAGUCAUUGUUGGGAUACCGCCCUUAGGUUUCUGGAAUUCUAACCUGCGACCGUGAAUCCGGUCGGGGGACAUUGUCAGGUGGGCAGUUUGACUGGGGCGGUCGCCUCCGAAAAGGUAACGGAGGCGCUCAAAGGUUGGCUCAGCACGGACGGAAACCGUGCCUCUGAGUGUAAACGCAAAAGCCAGCCUAACUGCGAGGAUGACGGUCCGAGCAGUAACGAAAGUUGGAGUUAGUGAUCCGGCGGUAUGUGAAUGGAAAUGCCGUCGCUCAACGGAUAAAAGCUACCCUGGGGAUAACAGGCUGAUCUCCCCCAA